rnacentral:rRNA from 1 species
AUUGAACGCUGGCGGCAGGCUUAACACAUGCAAGUCGAGCGAGCGGCGGACGGGUGAGUAAUGUAUGGGGAUCUGCCCGAUAGAGGGGGAUAACUACUGGAAACGGUGGCUAAUACCGCAUACUAUCGGAUGUACCCAGAUGGGAUUAGCUAGUAGGUGGGGUAAAGGCUCACCUAGGCGACGAUCCCUAGCUGGUCUGAGAGGAUGAUCAGCCACACUGGAACUGAUACACGGCCCAGCCUCCUACGGGAGGCAGCAGUGGGGAAUAUUGCACAAUGGGCGCAAGCCUGAUGCGGCCAUGCCGCGUGUAUGAAAAAGGCCUUAGGGUUGUAAAGUACUUUCAGCGGGGAGGCGUUACCCGCAGAAGAAGCACCGGCUAACUACGUGCCAGCAGCCGCGGUAAUAC